CCUACGGUGGGCAGCAGUGGGGAAUAUUGGACAAUGGGCGAAAGCCUGAUCCAGCCAUGCCGCGUGUGUGAAGAAGGCCUUCGGGUUGUAAAGCACUUUCAGUGGGGAAGAAAGCCUUGGGGCUAAUACCCUCGAGGAAGGACAUCACCCACAGAAGAAGCACCGGCUAACUCCGUGCCAGCAGCCGCGGUAAUACGGAGGGUGCGAGCGUUAAUCGGAAUUACUGGGCGUAAAGCGCGCGUAGGCGGUCUGAUAAGCCGGUUGUGAAAGCCCCGGGCUCAACCUGGGAACGGCAUCCGGAACUGUCAGGCUAGAGUGCAGGAGAGGAAGGUAGAAUUCCCGGUGUAGCGGUGAAAUGCGUAGAGAUCGGGAGGAAUACCAGUGGCGAAGGCGGUCUUCUGGACUGACACUGACGCUGAGGUGCGAAAGCGUGGGUAGCAAACAGGAUUAGAUACCCUUGUAGUC
rnacentral:rRNA from 1 species